AUAAUCUAAAGCAUGCUUAUAAAAUUAAAGGGGUGUCCUAGACUUGUUUGUAAUAUGGAUCACAACAAUGCAAUACCAGGUAUGACACUCCUCAAAAGAGGGGAUACAUGUGGUAUUAGCGCACUGGUCAUCAUAUCCAUUUCUACCCUUUCCCACCCCGUGAAGGUAAUUAAGAGAAGAUUGGACUCAACUCUUAUUGCAUGCUCUUACCCGUCCCUUCCUAUUAGUCCCAGAGGAAUUAAUGACUUCUAUUUCUAUAAGAAGGAGGUUCUAAGCAGAACCUCAGGUUUAAAGGUAAAAUACUAAGGCGACAAUACAAAACAAGUAGGACUACAUUUAAAAGGGAAAAACACAGAAAACAAGAAGAAGGCUCAAUUAAACCUCCACAAAUAAUUCACAUAGACAAUAUGACCUAUAUACAGUUAAGUUCUGAAUUUAAAAUCCUAAAGCAGAGUGUUUAAGUGGUAACAUUAGAACCAGGUUCAUUAAAUGACUCAGAAAAGAAGUCCAAAUCAGGUUCGCCUACUGACUUAGAACCAACAGUUGUUCCAAGUCACUAAGACAAUUUGAAGAUUAUUUUUAUUACCUAAAACAUGUUGUUCUAGUUGUAGAGAUUGUUGCCAAUUUUAUUCAAAAAACAUUACAAAGUGAAAAUUAUCACUUUACUACCUUAUUUAUGAAUCAGAACUUAACUAGGCGUUUUAAACAAAAUGCAAACAAGAUCCUAGAACAUGUAAUCUAACAUGCACAUGAAAAUGGCAUGGCUUUUGAAAACAGAAUUCCUAAGGCAAGAUUUCUAAAUGUACACAAGAGUCGCAUAAUUUUUGAAAUAACAACUUUGUAUACCAGUGUCGUUAUUACCCUAGGAUCUAGAUUUCUAAGUGAUAGACAUAAAGAAUGGAGUAAUGAAUGAAAUGCUAAAGCGAGAAAACGAAGGUCCUAUGAACAUGGUUUUCUAAUGCAUGUAUGAAUCCUAAACAUGACUUUUAUUGCACAAUUAGGAAUAUAAACCUAAUAACAUGAUUUUUACCCUUUAACAACUAUAGAAUGCAUAUUUCCCCAUCCCUUUUCACUAACCACCCCAAUACUUGUUUACAAAUUAUUACAAACCAUGUGAUAGAACUAAAUUAGAAAUAAAAAAUAAGAGGUUACAACAAUAAGAAGCCUGAUUCUGACUUCCUCUAUAAAUUAUGUAAUAAACCACCUCAAAUGCCAAUAUUGUUCCCAAGCCUUUCUCAUAUCUAGGUGUGUCAGAGUUCCCUAGGAAAAUCACGGAAUCUCGAGCAGUGCUCACACCCAGAUUGCAUAACCAAGAGAGUCAGUGCAAUGUAGAAGGGACAACUCUUAUGUGUCUAGGUUUAGAGGGAGCUCAAGGGUCCCAAAGUAAGGCUCAAAUAGAAGAGGCAGAACCUGGCAUUCUAAAAGUACAUGUGAGAGUGCUUGACAUAGAUUAGAGAGAGUUGAGUUUGAACACAGUUUUGAAAAAUGAUUGGUUUGAAGUAAAUUUGCAACAACAGAAGAGUUGGUUAGGGAAAACAAUUUUGAAACAGGCAGGAAUCAGCAAAUACAGAAUAGAUCUGCGGUACAACUUCAACAUUACAAUUAUUGGAGUAGGGGUUGGGGACAUAGAGGACCCAAAUCAGAAACACAUAAAAUAAUCAUGAAUCAAGUACAUUAGGAGACAUGCUAGUUGAGGGACAUAAACAGGAACAAGUAAACAUACUGAUCACAUUUGAACAAAGGAGGGCGGAAUUCUAAAUAUGCUGAGUGAAGUAGUAAAAAAAAGUACAAUUUAAUAACUUGAGCCAUUAAGUUAGUGCAGAAAGAGAAAGCUAUUGACAACAAAGGAACACAUAGGUUUGAGUCGUAGAAUUUAAACCAAGAACAUACUAGUUGAAGGAGCAAAGUACAGGAAAAGAAAAUAACCAGAGUUCCUUAAUCUAGCCUUGGCUUUCAGUCGGCUAGACAAAGCAGUAGCACAAGUAGUAGCAGAGAACAAGAAAGUUUGAGUGUGUAAGUGUGUGUUAUGAACUGAAUUGAUCGUGUCUUUGGAGAAGAAAUGGUAGGAUAUUUAUAGUAUUGAAAGAGGGUAGAAAAUAAAGUAACAAGUAAAAGUCUUUGCACAAUUAUGGAAGUAAUCACCAUUAGAAUCCAAUUAAUACAAGUACUUCCCUUUAAUCAAGUUAUUACGGCUCAAACGGAUACAAACAGGGGUAAUUAAGGAAAGGAAAUCAAUUUGAGAAAGAUUGAUCUUUACCAUACAAGAUAUAGUAAAAGUAUAGAGUAUCUAAUUAAGUCUAGGUACAAAAUAUACUUAAUUUGGGGAAACGAUCUAGCAUGGGUAAAACAUCACAACAAAUAAAGGAAAGGAAUCAAUCAACUUAAACAACCGAGUAAAAUUAGGGUUUUGUCAGAAAAUCUUGAAAUCAAAACAUAACUUAAGGAAAUCAAGAUUAAUCAAGAAGGAAUCAUGAUUUUGCACUUUGACAUAUAAAUAGAAAAGAAUAAAAUGGCAUAUCAGACAUGCAUGGUCAAACAUAUUGACAAAAAGGAGCAACUAGAUGAACACAAACAUUUAGAUGUAACAUGAAUAGGCCAAAGGCUACUCGAAGCAUGGUAGUUAACAAAGUCAAGUAGCCAUGGCCCAUACAUAGAACCAAAAUGAAAAACCAGUCUAACACAUAGCAACACGUAGAGGAGAUCUUUGAAAAUUCAUAGUAACAAGUGAGGAAAAUCACAAGAAAUUAGGAUUUUAACAAAGUUAGGUUUUAAAUGGUAAGAACUCAGAAUCUGUCCAGACAUACAAAGGAAAGGUUCUAACCAUAAAGAAUUCAAUCAAAACAAGCACACAAACAAAAUAAAUGAAGACAGUUUUAGAACCCCGGAUAAACAAAAAUACCUAGGGUUUUCAACACGAUGAACGAGGUAGAAGAAGAAUAUAAAAAAAACAUUUGAACAUAGUAAAAUCAUAAGACAACACUGAAAAUUAAAGAAGAAGUCUUUAAAAAAGAGGUUAAGAAAACCCUAAUCGUUGAAGACGAAGAGUAACUUUAAUGAAAUAAAAAAAACUUUUGAGAAAACACCAAUAGGUUCAUAACAUGCACAGAUCUAAGAUAGAUCUGCAAGAAAAUCAGAAAGCUCUUAAAGCUAGGGUUUCAGAGAACCAGAAAAAGUGAGAAAAACUUGAAAAUGUUACCUAUCUAGUCGGAAAAGCCAUGGAUCUGACUUGAACGACCAUGGAUGGCCGGAAAAAGACCACAGAUAGAAGUUGAGCAAGGUCUGGACUAGAUCUCUUCGAGAUCUUUUCAUGAAAUCACAAAAAUAAGAAACUAGGAGACAUAAGAGACUGGCAUACGUCUCAAACAGCCAUAAGAGCCCACGAGUUGAGUAAGAAUCGAAGGGGAUUAGGGUUAAUUUGGAUGAUGGAAGCUAGGGUUUGAGUGAGGUUAUAGAGAGAAUUGAAUUCAAAG
rnacentral:lncRNA from 1 species